UUGCCCAUAAACGUGCUGUUGUUUUCCUCCAGCCCUCCGCGGUGUCCGCAUGGCGUUGCUCGGGCUCUGACGCUCCUAAGGCAGCGUCGCCGACGGGGAGCUUGAGGCAGUCAAAAUAGCACAGGUUUGCAAACUGAAGCAUCGUACCUUGCACCUGUACAGAAUGUGUGGAUAAACAAUGGCACUGUGUCAAUCUCAAAAGUAAAAAGGGGUGGAGUUUGAUGUCAUGUGUCCCCAGAUUCACAAUGCAGAGGUGGAGAUGCACUGAAACCAGUACAACUGCAACUGGGUCCGUACCCAAUGUGUGGGAGAUCAGACACAAACUUACCUGUCAGGUCUUUACGUCAAAUCAAUGUGCAUUAAGGAAGUUCUGAUGAAAAAAGUACAGCAUGUGUAGAGCUUAAACACUGUGACUAAGUUUUUUCCAGGCAGAAGAUAGCAUGUGACACAGCCCUUCCAAGACUCUACCACUUCAAAAUGCAGCUUCCGGACACAACUGACAACCAUUUGGCUCUUGUCUUCCUGCCCCGACAGCUUGGUUGUCCAGAUUGCAGUAGGAAAUGGGAAGCUAAAAUUAACCUGACCUGAAGCUUGGACAGCUCCUUGAAACUUCUGAUUAAAACCCGGAGUGGAUUCCACUGCCCCACUGACAUGGAGCCAUCAGCCACCACUGUUUUUGUAUAACAGUUGAAGCCAACUGAUGUCUCUUUCAAGUUAUGGACAAUAAGGUUCAAGCUAGCACAUUUAACUUAUCACUCAGUUUUGGUAUUAAGGGCCAUGAAUUAUUAUUGGACACAUUAUUGGAAGUCAGGUAAGAUGUUAAACUGUAGGUGAGAAAGGAAGCAAGUCUAGCAUUGACAUGCCACCUCUUAUAUGGCACAUCAUCUGUAUCUUAUUCACAAUUGUAUUCCUAAUCUCAAAAGGCAAAAAAGUGCCUGAAGACCAUGUAGUAUAGUUCAACACUUUGUAUGUUGCUAAUGAGCAAAAAUAAGCUUAAUAAAAAAAUACCUCUUAACUACUGAAA